AUUUAUUUAAUUAUUUUUUUUGUUUAUUUAUUUUCUUUUAUAAUAAAAAUAUUAUUGUUUAUUAUUAGUUUAGAAAAACAUACUUCUUAUUAUAGAUAAUUUUGUACUGUGAAGGAAUUUAAUUAAAUUUUUAAAAGAAAAAUUUAAUUUUGUACCUUGUGUAUCAGGGUUGAUAAAUUAAUAAAUUUUUAUAAAAUUUUUCCCGGUUUUAGAAGAGCUAUAUUUAUAUUAAUUUUAUUGUUGAAUAAAUAUUUAAAAUAUAAAUAUAGGAAUUAAAUGUUAUUCGUUUCUAAAUAUAUCUGGUUUUUUAAGAAAAAAAUUUAAUUUUUUAAUUAAAUUUAAUUUUAUUUAUUUUUUAAUGAAAUUAAUUUAACUAUAAAUAUUUAAAGGGAUGAGCUUUUAAAUAAAUUUUUAUAAGAUUUAAAUUAAUGCAAGUUACAUAGGAUUAGAAUUUUCCACUUAAUUUCAAUAUGUUAUAAUUGUUCUUGUUUUUACUAUUAUUUUUAUUUUCUUUAAUUUUUUUAUUAAAAUAUAAUAUUUAAUUAAAUUUUUUUAGUAAUUAUGAUUUAAUUAGUAUAUUUUUUGUUAUUAUUAUUUUUUUGAAAGGUUAAUUUAAGGAAUUCGGCAAAUAUUUUUCCGCCUGUUUAUUAAAAACAUGUCCUUUUGAAAUUGAUUUAAGGUCUAGCCUGCCCACUGAGGUAUUAAAGGGCUGCGGUAUUCUGACCGUGCUAAGGUAGCAUAAUAAUUAGUUUUUUAAUUGAAAGCUGGAAUGAAAGGUUGGACGAGAAAAAUACUGUCUCAAAUUAAAUUUUUUAGAAUUUUAUUUUUAAGUAAGAAAGCUUAAAUUUUUUAAAAAGACGAGAAGACCCUAUAGAGUUUUAUAAAAAUUUUUAUUUUUAAAUUUUAAGAAUUUAAGUUUUUAAUCAUUAUUUUUAUUUGGUUGGGGUGACUGAAAAAUUAAAUUAACUUUUUCUUUAUUUUUACACUAAUUAGUGAAUUUUUGAUCCAUUAUUUGAUUAAAAGAUUAAAUUACCUUAGGGAUAACAGCGUAAUUUUUCUAGAGAGUUCUAAUCGAAAGAAGAGUUUGCGACCUCGAUGUUGGAUUAAAAUUAAUUUUUGGUGCAGAAGCUAAGAGUUUAGGUCUGUUCGACCUUUAAAAUUUUACAUGAUCUGAGUUUAGACCGGCGUGAGCCAGGUUGGUUUCUAUCUUUUAAGAAUUUUAAUUUUUUAGUACGAAAGGACCAAAAAUUAGAUAUUUUAUAUUUUAUUAAAGAAUUUUAUU
rnacentral:rRNA from 1 species